GAGAGUUAAACAGUACGUGAAAUUGUUGAAAGGGAAACGAUUGAAGCCAGUCGUACCUUCGGGUAAUCAGCCUUUCGGGUGCGAUUAUGUGGAGUGUGAGGAGCUUAAACACCUUCAUGUUUUGCAUAUUCGUACUCUUGGGUGUACUUGCCCGUGUGGUUGGUUAACAUCAAUUUUGGUGGUCAUAAAAUGAUUGGAGGAAUGUAGCUUUGGUCUCGUAUCGAAGUGUUAUAGACUCUGGUAGAUGUGACGAUUGGGAUUGAGGAUUGCAACGGAUACCCUUCGGGGCUACUCGUCUGAUCUCUGAAGGUUGCUCCGGUGCCGAAAGCGUGCUUACGGUCAUCGAAAGUGAUUUUCAAAAGGUUAGAACGGGUUAAAUUCGUUAAGGAUGUUGACGUAAUGGCUUUAAACGA
rnacentral:rRNA from 1 species